rnacentral:tRNA from 1 species
GCCCCCGUAGCCCAAUUGGCAGAGGCAGUCGACUUAAAAUCGAUUCAGUGCGGGUUCGAGUCCCGUCGGGGGCACCC